AAAAGGUUUGGUGGAGUAGUUGGGUGAUAAAUGUUGGUUGUGUCAUGAGUUAAAGCUGCAUGAGUUUGCAUGUGCAGGAGUUAAUAUGAUUGUGGCUAUGAUAAGCCACUGUACUACAACUGGUGUUAGUUUCUGUUUGUCAUAGAGACAAGAAAAAGUCAACCGGGCAGAGUCCGAAGGUAGCAGGAAGGAGCUUUUUCGGAUGGGAAACAAUUUCGUUGAUUAAAUGAAAUGUACAAAAAGGAGAGCCCUAUCCAAUAGAGAUUACAAAAAAAAGGGAAAAAAAA